rnacentral:tRNA from 1 species
CCGGUAGCUCAGUUGGAUUAGAGCGUUUGGCUACGAACCAAAAGGUCGGGGGUUCGAGUCCCUCCCGG